rnacentral:tRNA from 2 species
GGGCCUAUAGCUCAGUUGGUUAGAGCGCUCGACUCAUAAUCGAUCGGUCGCAGGUUCAAGUCCUGCUAGGCCCACCA